GAUGAACGCUGGCGGCGUGCCUAAUACAUGCAAGUCGAGCGAACAGACGAGGAGCUUGCUCCUUUGACGUUAGCGGCGGACGGGUGAGUAACACGUGGGUAACCUACCUAUAAGACUGGGAUAACUUCGGGAAACCGGAGCUAAUACCGGAUAAUAUUUCGAACCGCAUGGUUCGAUAGUGAAAGAUGGCUUUGCUAUCACUUAUAGGUGGACCUGUGCCGUAUUAGCUAGUUGGUAAGGUAACGGCUUACCAAGGCAACGAUACGUAGCCGACCUGAGAGGGUGAUCGGCCACACUGGAACUGAGACACGGUCCAGACUCCUACGGGAGGCAGCAGUAGGGAAUCUUCCGCAAUGGGCGAAAGCCUGACGGAGCAACGCCGCGUGAGUGAUGAAGGUCUUCGGAUCGUAAAACUCUGUUAUUAGGGAAGAACAAACGUGUAAGUAACUGUGCACGUCUUGACGGUACCUAAUCAGAAAGCCACGGCUAACUACGUG
rnacentral:rRNA from 1 species